rnacentral:rRNA from 1 species
AAUAGAUACCCUGGUAGUCCACGCCGUAAACGAUGAGUGCUAAGUGUUAGAGGGUUUCCGCCCUUUAGUGCUGCAGCUAACGCAUUAAGCACUCCGCCUGGGGAGCACGGCCGCAAGGCUGAAACUCAAAGGAAUUGACGGGGGCCCGCACAAGCGGUGGAGCAUGUGGUUUAAUUCGAAGCAACGCGAAGAACCUUACCAGGUCUUGACAUCCUCUGAAAACCCUAGAGAUAGGGCGUUCCCCUUCGGGGGACAGAGUGACAGGUGGUGCAUGGUUGUCGUCAGCUCGUGUCGUGAGAUGUUGGGUUAAGUCCCGCAACGAGCGCAACCCUUGAUCUUAGUUGCCAGCAUUUAGUUGGGCACUCUAAGGUGACUGCCGGUGACAAACCGGAGGAAGGUGGGGAUGACGUCAAAUCAUCAUGCCCCUUAUGACCUGGGCUACACACGUGCUACAAUGGAUGGUACAAAGAGCUGCGAACCCGCGAGGGUAAGCGAAUCUCAUAAAGCCAUUCUCAGUUCGGA